UUGACUGAUACGCGAGAGUGUUGAUUGAACACUUACGUUAUUGCGGAGGACCAUCAGUGGAUGGUACCGCAAAUGAAACGUAAUCGAAUAAUGGAAAAAAAAAGAAGAGAAUAAUAGGGAAAUAUUAUUUUGAAUAGUGCGAGUAUUAUUUGAUCGAUUGAUGUUGAUUUAUUUUCUCAAGAGGAACAUCCCUGUUUUUAUUACUUCCUAAUUACUAGAAUACCGGUGCAUAAUAGCUAUAUUCCAGAAAUUAAAUAUAAUUGAAUAAUUAAGAAAGGCGUAAGAAAAUAUUAAGACCACCUCGUUCUUCACAAAUGAAUAACGAGCGCCUAACUCGAGGAAAACGAGUUCGAUCGAGACCUCUUCUGAAACUUGAUUCCAAACUGCUCCAAAUUCGGAAAAAGUGGAGUGUUAAAAACGUUUCCAAAGUCUUCUGAAAAUUGCCGGAACCUCUUCGCUCCGAGCAGCAAGAAGUUGACUCGUUAAGCAGUCCUCGUUCCAAAGCUCGUUUACCUCGAAGCGAUGUCAGCUCAUCGAAUACUCGUGAGGAUUCCGUUCUCUCGAAGAAUGUCGCGUAGGUGUGCCGUGAGAAAGCGACAAGAAGAGGAAGAAGCAGACGUCACCACGAUUGAAGGAGAAAUCGGCGAUAGGUGGCGAAGAGAGUGGGUGGCGGUAGACUUUAUCUAAACACGACAGGAGUGUCUGGUGAUGAAUCGUUGCCAGCUUCAGCCAACGUGUAUAGCUAGCUGGUCUCAGCAAAGACUCUGAUCCUCGUCGACGAUCACUCGAAUGCACUCCGAACAGCUAUCUCCGUUGUGAUAGCGAUAACAACUUGCCACCUAACCCGUGCACGGAGAUUCCACUGCGCCAUUUAGCUGUUCUCUAUGGCCUAUUUUGGUGCUGGACGAGCUACGAUGCGGCUAGUUUCCCGACCAACCUUCAUCCUGGAUUCUUUUACGAGCCACCGUUACGUCGACGAAUAAUAGAGGUUGCUUUAGGGACGAACGUCCCGAUGUUUGUUCCCAAUUUGCUCGCUUUCAUGGGCCACACGGUUGUAAACGACAUAAUUAUUGUUAUGGGAGAAGGUUGAUGCCGCUUGCGGUGCCGGAAACGUUUCUUUUUUUAUCGUUUGCUAAAGUUGCGAUGCAUUCAGGUCUGUGCGGUAUUUUAGUUAGAAGUGCACCUGGUAUUCUGUCGGGGAUGUCUUGUGUGAUUUUCUUACUUUUUGGAAAUUAUGUGGGACUGUUUGGAGGUUUUUACUGUAGGAACAAGGGUAGGCGAGGUGAAUUAUAAAUUCAUUUGAUUUUAGGUUUAAAAUAUUAUAUAGUAAUUGCAUGAAAAAGUAGACUUCUGCAUUUGUUAGUAGUUUUUAUAAUUUUAAAUUGAAAUAAGUACCCUUAAAAUCAAUUCAAGCUUUCUUAUGGAAAAUAGCACUGUAAGGAGAGCAGGAAUAUCAAAAUCUUAAUUUUAACGAUAUUAAUAUUAGAGGUAAUUUAGAAAUAAAAUAAUACAACUUUGAAUUAUUAAAUAUUAUAAAAAGGUAUAAUAAAUGAAUCUUAAAUAGUAAAUUAUGGAUAGAUAAGAUUAAACCGUUUAGAUGCAGGUCCCGCGUAAAGGGUUAAAUCGUGUAUUUUGUUUGAAAUGCUCAUCGUGCAUAUACAGGACAAAAGUUAUAUAUUUACCUUAUUAGAAGUUUCCGUUGAAAUUGAAAAACUUUUCGUUCUAACGGGGUAGACAGUGAAAAUAGCAUAGCUAUUCGCUAAGUUUAAAUUGGUUGCACCUUCAGCCGUAGAGAUCGUAUUAUCACGCGGCAAGUCGAUAGUCUCAAAUGAAACGUGCAAGAAGAUAAGACGGUGCUAGCAACAAUAAGCGCGCAAAUGAAGACGGAAAAGAAAGUUUAUUCUCGUGGAAAACAAUGGAUUUGAAGAAAAUUUCGUAGAGAGAGGGGCAAGCCAGCCAUCGUCGUCCAUUUAGCGUUCCUUGAAUCAGCUGGCGUUUCAAAGAGGGCGAAAUUAAAAUUCGUUUCCUCAAUCUGCUCUAAUUGCGUUAAGUUUCACGACUACCGUAAAUUCAUUUAUUUCCUUUUAAUUCUCGAACUUUCAUAAUUAAAGAGUGUACCCCACGGUGUACAAGCCCUCCCCUCUUUUUUUUUUUAUUCUGCUCGAAGGUGCAUAAAAGUAAUUGCAAUCAACGUUGGCGCAACUUCUUGCAUUUUUAUUUUUUUUCAUUUUUUGGGUAUCGUAAACAAUAAUGUGUAAUAUUUAUUAAAAUACAGAAUACUUAUUUUUAAAAAAUGGAUAAAUUUUUAAUUUUCUAACGAGCAUUAAUUAUUCCUUAGCAUUUGAUUUAAUGUUAGAAUAUCGGUGUAAUUGAGCAGAGGCCUGGGUAGCUCUGAACUUCCCAAAAUGUUGAUGGGUCAGUUAUAAAAUUCUAAAAUUCUAAAAUUCUAAAAUUUCAGAAUUAUAAAAUUAAAUAAUUUGAAAAUAAUAUUACCUUAAAAUUUCAGUUUUCCAAAAAUGUGGGUGGCCCUCCUCACCAUUUUACAAUUAUAAAAUUAUAAAAUUCUGUAAUUGCAGAAUUUGUAAAAUUGAAAAUUUCUAAAGUACCUGGCCCACCCUAGAAGAAAUCCUAUCAACUCCAAUGCGUUAGAAAUCUACUUUUUUUUUCAAUUUUCAAUUAUCUUUUCAUCGAUAGAUUGAUAAAAUUGAAUAACCGAUAGGAUAAUAGGUAACGUGAAAUCCUUUGUAAAACACGAAACUAAUGAUUCCGAUAACAAUGAUCGAUAAUAAUAUAUGAUACAAAGGCGUUUUCUCUUCCACGGCCUGUUAUCAGUCAAUUUGAUCAGCUCGGACAGAAUGAAGAAAAUACUUGGCUCGCCUUUGAUGGAGGGACUGAAAAUUGAAACUGUACCACUUAAUGACUUAUUCAUUCAGCUUACCUCGCUGACCUCUGUAUCUCUUUUCACGGACGAACAGGUACACAAAGCAAUGAAGGUACAUAGAAAUAAUGAGAGUCCACCGAAAGAAGAGAGUUAAUUAGUUACAGAACGAGGAGGUUUCAUUUUAACUUGAUAUUUCUCUCUUUGACCUGCUCUAUAUAAAUCUCGUAAUUAUUUAUAAGCUGCUCCAGUCGAUCGUGAACGGAAAUGGAACAAAAGCUAAAAUCCGUGCUUCUUCCGCUUAAACAGCGCGUUUGAUCGAUGCUGAAAAUGCGGUAAUGUCAAGUGAUGAACAAAAGGGAAAUGCUCCAGAGAAAUAAUCAGAGCCGCAAGUUCGGAAAAUGAACGAGCAAUUUGUUAAACGAGCAUAAUUUAUUGUGAUAUUAAUGAGAAAAUUGUCAUUCGUUGUGUUAGUGGUCAUAAAAACGUAUUUUGGAUCAAAAUUUCCAUAAAAGUAAUAAGAAGGUAUUAAAAAAAAUAUUUCUCACUUAUAUUUUUAUUGAAAUACUUCAUCGUCUAACCAAUAAGCGUUCGCAAGGUAGAAAUGAAGCGAAACACAGUACUAUCAAAGCUGGAAAUCUCAAGUUUGCAAGGCAAACAUAAUUAAAACUGCAAACGUAGAAACUGAAAUCGACCGACUUAAAAUUGCAUCAAAAGUUAACCAGGAACCUUCUUCCUCGUAUAUUCUCGUUAAAAAAA